rfam:Oryza nivara chromosome 1, whole genome shotgun sequence.
AAUAAGUGCAGUUUUAUACUGUUCAUGUCUCACGUUUGACCGUUCGUUUUAUUUGAAAUUUUUUUACGAUUAAUAUUUUUAUUGUUAUUAGAUGAUAAAACAUGAAUAGUACUUUAUGUGUGACUAAAUAUAUUUUAAUUUUUUUAUAAAUUUUUCAAAUAAGACGAAUGGUCAAACGUUGGACACGGAUUCCCAUGGCUGCACUUAUU